rnacentral:rRNA from 1 species
AACGAACGCUGGCGGCAGGCUUAACACAUGCAAGUCGAGCGCCCCGCAAGGGGAGCGGCAGACGGGUGAGUAACACGUGGGAACGUACCUUUUGCUACGGAAUAGCUCCGGGAAACUGGAAUUAAUACCGUAUGUGCCCUUCGGGGGAAAGAUUUAUCGGCAAAAGAUCGGCCCGCGUCUGAUUAGCUAGUUGGUGGGGUAAUGGCCUACCAAGGCGACGAUCAGUAGCUGGUCUGAGAGGAUGAUCAGCCACACUGGGACUGAGACACGGCCCAGACUCCUACGGGAGGCAGCAGUGGGGAAUAUUGGACAAUGGGCGCAAGCCUGAUCCAGCCAUGCCGCGUGAGUGAUGAAGGCCUUAGGGUUGUAAAGCUCUUUCGUCAGGGAAGAUAAUGACGGUACCUGAAGAAGAAGCCCCGGCUAACUUCGUGCCAGCCGCCGCCGUAACAC